CACUCAUCAGUCAUCAUUCACCGUUACUAUUGCGCACUUCUCCCUCUGCAGUCUUCACUGCUUCCCUUCCUCUCCUUUUUUUUAGGGUUUUUUCUUUCGUCGUCGCCCUUUCGCUGCCUCCAUUUCUGAAUUUUUGAAUCUUAUCGCUAUCAAUCCGUCUCUUUCUCCUUGUUUGGGGAUAUGGCUACAAAAGCGCCACCAAUCACAGGUUUACGCCUGGAUGCUUCCGCGCCAUCUACAACAAACGGCGCUUCUCAUAGGCUUUAUGUUGUUAGAGUUUGUAUGAGGUCUUCUUUCUUUUGCAACAAUGUGUAUGCUUCAAAUUAGAUACAUAAUGCAUUGCUUACAGUUGGAGCAUUGAGAUUGAGUGGAGUUCGGUCGAUGUAGUGAUUGUAUUGGUAACGGCAGACAAGGUGUUUGGGCCGAAUGCGUCAACGGAGGAGGUUUACAAUAUUGCUGCUCGGCCUAUUGUUAAAAUUUCAGUGGAUGGUGUUAUGGAACCGUGUUUGCUAAUGGUGUCACCAGUAGUCGAAAAACACACACAUGUUGAAGAAAUUUUGUUGGCUCUAGGAAGAUAUGAGGAGAUAUGAUGGUAUAUCCUGGACAUAGUGGCCGGUGGGAGGCACUCUCAAAUAAAUAUCGCCAAAAGAGGAAAGAGUGCAGCGUUGAUGAGUUAAUUGGUUUAAUGUUUAGAGAAUAAGUGGUAGAGAAGUGUGAUUGAGUGAUUCUGGUUACAGUUACACUAUACGACUAUAUAGACACUUGAAUUUGUGUAAGCUACUUAAAGUGAUUUUGGUUACAGUCGAGGGUUGCUUGAAACAAGGUUCUUGAGUCUAAUGUGACUAAUACCUAAGCUCGGAUGUAAUAAACGCCUUUUGGUAAGUAGUGCCACGGUUCUUUUUAGGGGAACAUACAACAACUAUUGAUUUUAUGUUCCAAGGAAUACCCAUCGUACCUUUUGGAUCCCUUAUGGCUUAUGUAUUAGGGAUAUAUAUGUAUGUAACCUAGAUUAAAUAAACGGUUUUUUCAUGAAA